rnacentral:tRNA from 1 species
GAUGGUGUAGCUCAAGCGGUAGAGUGCAUGCUUAGCAUACACAAGGUCCUGGGUUCAACCCCCGGCACCACCU